UAUUCAGUUGCAUGCUUGAAUCUCAGUGUAGCUAAUGCUGUCCCAUGAGUGCUGCAAUGUUGUUGUGAGCAAGACAAUGCAAGGGCCAUAUUCAAAACAAUAUGCAUGGUAAGACGGUGUAAAGUGAAGGCUUCAAGGGACUGCUUAGAAGACGGCUGGAUAAAUGCUUCCAACUAGGUCAGUGAUAGAGCGGAAGGCAUUUUCAGAAAGUGAUGUGGCUUAUACUUGGAGUUGUUUCUUAUAACGGCACAAGUGAAAAUUUCUUUGAAGAAUCAUGCUGUAGGACUAAUGAAAAGUGGAGUGCGGUUACAGGCAAUGUUAACAUUGACAUCUUUGGAAUACAAAUACUUCAAUUCUAUUGGCAGGAGAUUGAACCAGAGCAUGGAGCAUGAUAAGCUGAUGCAGACAGCCUCUACUCUUCUUGUGAAUUAAUGAGAAUACCAACUCAUGUGAAGAAUCUCCAUUGGUAUUAGAUGUUCCUUCCAUUAAACCUGAUGCCCACCAUGCAGAGAGACAAAAGAAGCCAGAAGUAAUGCUA